rnacentral:tRNA from 1 species
GCCGGUGUGGCGGAAUGGCAGACGCGCUCGACUCAAAAUCGAGUUCCUUCGGGAGUGUGGGUUCGACCCCCUCCACCGGUA